rfam:Myotis davidii contig226617, whole genome shotgun sequence.
GGAGGUUUUCAGGUGACACACCCUGGAAUUGGGCUCCCUCCUCCCUGGUUCUCGGUGUGUCACUCCAGAACAGCA